rnacentral:rRNA from 1 species
GACGUAGGGCGCGAGCGUUGUCCGGAAUUAUUGGGCGUAAAGAGCUCGUAGGCGGUGUGUCGCGUCGGCCGUGAAAACCUGGGGCUCAACUCUGGGCGUGCGGUCGAUACGGGCAUCACUAGAGUUCGGCAGGGGAGACUGGAAUUCCUGGUGUAGCGGUGAAAUGCGCAGAUAUCAGGAGGAACACCGGUGGCGAAGGCGGGUCUCGUGGACAGUUCCUGACACUGAGGCACGAAGGCCAGGGGAGCAAACGGG